UACAGGGGGUGCAAACGUUGCUCGGAAUCAUUGGGCGUAAAGCGCACGUAGGCGGUCUGUUAUGUCGGAUGUGAAAGCCCUUGGCUUAACUGAGGAAGUGCAUCCGAAACUGGCAGGCUAGAGUACUAAAGAGGGUCGCGGAAUUCCCGGUGUAGAGGUGAAAUUCGUAGAUAUUAGGAAGAACACCAGUGGCGAAGGCGGCUCACUGGUCCGGUACUGACGCUGAGGUGCGAAAGCGUGGGGAGCAAACAGG
rnacentral:rRNA from 1 species